CCUCAUGACCUUCUGCUCUGAAUAAACAAAUAAAUAAAUAACUAAAAGUCACUUCAACAGAAAAUUAUCUAUCUGCUCUUAAUUGAGUAUGUGUUCCCCGAGCUGCCUCCUCCAGUGGAAAUUUCUUUGUUAAGUGUUAAUUCCAUUUCAUUUUGCGGAUUGUGGCUGCCAUUGUCUCCAUUAGAGGGCCUCAGAGCAGUGUGUUACAGUGUUUUAGGAUCGGAUUUAAAGCUCUAUAUGUACUUUGGGUCUAAUUUCCUGCUGUACAGCUCUCUUAAACUCAAUGGGGUGUAAAACUGGUGCAACACACAGAGAGAAAAAAAAAACGUACCACACCUCAGAAUACAUCGGUGCUUUGGGUUUUUGCUGAGGAGAUUAAGAAACGCUGAGAUGCUAAGACAGGGUUUUAAAUACACGUGUGACAGGUGAGGCAGAUGAGUAAGUUAAUUGCUGCUUGUGUGGUUGAACACAGUGUAAUUGGUCAAUAGGGUAUGUUUCCAGAGAAGAGUAGUGAAGUGCGUGAGCAAAGCACAAAUAGAGCCUUAAUCCUUCCUUAGAAAUUACACUUGUUCUAGGCAGAAGUUAGAGUCUGAAACACUUAUAAGAGUCAUAAACAUUUUAUUCUCCAUUAUGCUCCAAUUGCGGCGUUGGCGAGCAAAUUGCUUGGACUGAAAUUUUCUAGGUAGAUGUCGUCAUUGACUGAACUUUCUUCUAAAAAAAGUGUCAGAAAAUAAAGCUGAAUAAAAAUAGGGAGUGGGCUGGGAGUUUUCAGCCCAAACCUAGAAACUGGGACAAUUGAGAUCUGUGAAAUUCCCACAUAUGAGAGAAUGAAUUUGUGGCAAGGGGGAAAAUGAUCCCAAUCUAUGGCACCUGCCUUUCCUGGUGUUAGUAUUGUGCAUGGUGCGAGCUGGAGUGUAAUUCCAUCAGCAGGCAAAAGCUAGACUGGGGGGAGAGAAAGACAGUGGAAUGGGUUAGAGAAAUAAAGGAAACAGGGAGUGGUAGCAGGGAAAGUGGAAGGAAAGGCAUGGGGGAAAAUGGCUCAGAAGACCAGAUGCAAGAGCUGGCAGGUGCACAGCAAGAGUGAGGUGAUCCAGGCAAGAAGAGUGGGAGUGGACCUGCCAGAAACAUGAUGCCUUAUCAGGAGAGGAGGAAUACUGGGAUCAAAAGCAAAUGGUUCACAAAUGUGAUCUCCUGUCCAUUAGUUUAAUUUUGGGAAUGGCUAGAAAAGAGGGACAGACAGAUGGACCAGGGAACAAAAUUGUCACUGAAAGUGGCAUUUACGAAGUUUGAGAGAUGGUGGCAUGGGCAGCUUAGUUUUUUGUAACUUUGAAAUGCUUUGCUCUCCCGACUUCAGUGUUUAUUUCUUGUUACCUGUCAUGCAUGUUGUAAAUUUAAUUCAUCUGAGCAAUUAACUCAUUGAGGCAGGGAUUGAUUUUUUUUUUUGUUGUUCUGUUUUCACACAGCACUUCCUGAGGUGUUUUGUGGUUCUUGGCCAGUGCCUUUGCACGUCACUAAUGUGAACACAGGCGAUGCCAUGUGGAUGGAGGAGAGCCACAGCCAUGUUUCCCACUGGAGUGAAGCUGUCAAACCCAGCUGGUGGGUAGAUGAAGUAGGCUAUGAGGAAACCAAUACACAAAGCACCCCAUCACCUCCUCUCAGGGAUAAAACAAGUUCUGCUGCACGUGGCCAGCCCUUUUUUCAAAGAUACUUAGUGACUUCACCUUACUAAGCAGAUCCUCCAGGAAAGCCCCCACACUGCAUCUGUUGCUUCUCCUGCCCCCUCAGCCUCUGCUAAAUAAAAUAGAAGGACUUCCCAUCUGGAUGGGUCUUCUGACAAGCAAUAACAACAUACGACUCGAUGAUUUCCAGCAGGAGCACAGAAGAAUGCACAGUGGAAAAAUGUGUCUUUGAAUUCAUCAUUUUGGAACUUAUUUCCAUUCUCAUUCUAUGAAAAAUUCAUUUGUGCUAUUAAAAACUGUUAUGGCGGAAACCCAAAAAUCCAAGCCAAUUUCAUAAUGGAAGGCAAUUAAGUUGAUUGCUGAAUGAUAAACACCACAUCUUUCUUCAAUGGGGAUACUGCUUUUGAGUAAGCAAACUGCUUUUCUGCUCAUGGUUUUGAAAAAAAUGCAUCAUAAGUCUCUCUCUCAAAAGUUCAAUGGAAAGCAAGCAUUCAUUAGAGUGCUCUUUAAAGUCUCAACCAAUUAAAGAGCUUAUAUACCAACAAUAUGCCAACAAUGGAGGCAGAAUAAAAGCAAAUUUACUCUUACGCAAAAAUAUUAGGAUUAGAAAACACGCUUCUGUGAAUCCUGACCUAUAUUUUUGCUUUCCAGGUGUCUAUUCAUUUUCAGAAUGGUUUCUGCUGGAAUCUGUAGGUUGAUUUAAGACUGGAAUAAGAGAGGUAUUAUGAAAGACACAGUUAUUGCCUUGCACGUAGUUAAAUGGCAGUUUAUUUCUCAAGCAAGACCACAAAAAUGCAACAGCAGCUUAUUGAUUUAUUCCCUUGGUCCAGACUAGCUGAACUAUACAGGUUAAGUUCCUUUACUGUGAAAACUAAACCAACCUGGUCAAGAAUUGACUAUACCAACACAGAAGUUCACACAGAACAUGGGUAGAGAAAUUUAGUGCUAGGCAAACCCUGAAAAGAAAAAUAUAAAGUUAAAUCUGCAGAAGAGAUCGGUUUUGAAAGUAAAGUCAGCUAAGAGUCGGGGGCAAUAAUUUGCAGAUUCCUAGACUUCAGGAUUUUUCUUCAGCAGCAAAAUCACCGACAAAAUGCCACACCUUACCAUGGUUUGAUCAUAAAAAUCUAAAUUUGGUUCUUAUCUUCUCUAUACCAUAUACAUUACAGACAAAAUGUAGGAAAUGUAAAAACCCAAACCCAAUAACAACAAUAAAAAACUCUUAUGGCAAUUUUAGGCCUUUAUGGUUGAAAAAUCCCAUAGGUCAUGCCACACAUUCAGAUCCUCAAAAAAGACAAUGUCAAACCAGGCAGCAGAAUGAAACCAGAUAUUAAAUCCUGAACGAGAGUCCACUCGUGAUUCUUAUGAUCUAGAACUGACAGUAUUCACCAAAAGCUGAGAUGAAACUCAAACAACAUGAAUUGAUGUUAUCAAAUGACAUUAGCUGAAGAAAAAUUUUAAUUGCUUGGAAUACCUGAUAUUUCUCUCUUGUUUCUCAGAAUUCUGUUUUUAUUGUUUCAUAAGGCACUGACAAGUUCCUGAGGUUAGAGACACUCCAUCUGUUGUAUUUGAACAAUAUAUAGAGAAGUAA